GACGAACGCUGGCGGCGUGCUUAACACAUGCAAGUCGAACGGAAAGGCCCUGCUUUUGUGGGGUGCUCGAGUGGCGAACGGGUGAGUAACACGUGAGUAACCUGCCCUUGACUUUGGGAUAACUUCAGGAAACUGGGGCUAAUACCGGGUAGGAGCUCCUGCUGCAUGGUGGGGGUUGGAAAGUUUCGGCGGUUGGGGAUGGACUCGCGGCUUAUCAGCUUGUUGGUGGGGUAGUGGCUUACCAAGGCUUUGACGGGUAGCCGGCCUGAGAGGGUGACCGGCCACAUUGGGACUGAGAUACGGCCCAGACUCCUACGGGGGGCAGCAGUGGGGAAUAUUGCACAAUGGGCGGAAGCCUGAUGCAGCAACGCCGCGUGCGGGAUGACGGCCUUCGGGUUGUAAACCGCUUUCGCCUGUGACGAAGCGUGAGUGACGGUAAUGGGUAAAGAAGCACCGGCUAACUACGUG
rnacentral:rRNA from 1 species